AAGAUAUAGAUAAUGCCUUAAAAAUUCCUUCACUAAUGUUUACAAAUUUCCAAUCUCUAGAAAGUAGAAAAAUGCAAUGUAUGUUUUUGUAUACAUAUUAUUACGAAAAUUUAGAAAGUAAAUAUCCAUAUUGGCAAAAACAAAUAUAAACAAUCAAAGGACGAUCGGGAACUUUCCUGUUCGUUCUUAUUAAUGUGCUACAUAAUUAUCGUUCGCACAAGUAACUCUUCAAAAGUGUUUAGAACUUUUCUCACUUCGUUAAUUCCAGUCCACUUAACUUCUAAUUUAUAUUAUAUUAAAUUCGCAAAUUUAUAUAUUAAUUAUCAUGUGUUAAUUAUAUUUAUUAAUAUUUAUGCUUUUAUCGUGAAACAAAUACAUACCGAUGUCGUAUCUAGAACGUAUAACUUCAAGACGGACAUUACUAUCACAAAACGAUUUACAUAUGAGAGAAAGAAAUGUAUAAAAAUUAUCGAAAAUAUUAAUUUAUAAGUUUACAAGUUUAGAAAGAGUCUCAAUGUGCACUGUGUCGGAGAAAAUUAAUUCGAUACAUUUGUUCAAAGAGUGAACCAAGUAAACUUUUCCGUACGAUCAUCGUAAAAUGCAUUUCUUUUUGUUUGAAAUGAUUCAUAAAAUCUGUAUAUCAUUUAUGUACACAAACAAACAGCUACUUCAUGAAACAAAUAUACCCCAUUCAACGUGAUAUGGAAAUCAAUAGUGUGAAUGCGAGGUUUCUCUUUUGCCACUUAUUUCGAUGGACGUCAUUAUAGAAAACUUUCUCUUCACAAAAUAUGACGAAAACAACGUUUAUACCAACAGCGAGUCUAAGAGUAAUAAUUCUUGGCCAAUUUUGAUGUACAAUAUCUCAUUUUAAAGAUGAAGGUUUUUCAUGCGAGAAUAUAAUUUUUUCGAAUUUUUGAAAAAGCUUUAUUUUUGUGUGUCAAGCUAUUCUCGAAAAGCCAUCGUAUUUUUUUAGACGCGAUCGUACUAUCAGAAAACAAUGCUUUUUUAAAAAUUCGAUAAGGUCAUGUUCUCAAUUAUAACUUCAUCUUUAAAAUGAGAUUUCAAUCAUCAAAAUCGUUCAAGAAUUAUAGUUUUAUUUAUUGUCGUUAUAAAUCAAGAUCUGAUGAAAAUAUUUCAUUAAAAUAUUUCAUAAUA